GUUGACCGCAACCAGAUGGCCCAAUCAUAAUGGAUUCUAGAGGUUGUCCUUUGAGGCUUCCUGGGCAGUAGGAAUAACAAUUUCAUUUUCAACGGUGUUAAAUUACACAGAAGGACAGAACAGAUGCCCUUCUCCCAGGAAAGCAAAGAGCUCUCUAGAAAAAAAAGAGUACUUGAAGGAGUCAUUUGUCCUUGGAUCAUUGGAAAAUCAUGGCUCAUUUCCAGGAAAGACAGAAUGUGGAAUGUGAGAACCACUGAGCAUCAUCCUUCGCACAAUGGAAGGAAUCAACCUAUGUAGCUGUUACCAUAAGAAGCGAUGUCUGCCUUCAGGAAAAUGCAAACUAAAACCGCCUUGAGAUACCACCCCAACUCCAGCCAGAAUGGCUACCAUCCAGACACCUGACAGAUGUCGGAGAGGACGUGGAAAAAGAGGAGCCUUGGUUCACUGCUGACCAAAGUGCAGGCUAGUAGAGCCAAACAGAACUACCAUAUGACACAGCUACACACCACCAGGCACACACCAAAGGAUUCCGCAUCCCACCG
rnacentral:lncRNA from 1 species